rnacentral:lncRNA from 1 species
CGUGGUGCAGGUUCGGUUCCGCUCGCAGGUUCUGCUCGUGGUGCACUGGUGGAUCUCCUGCUGGCUGUUUCUGCUCGCUGGUCAACCCCUGCAACACCAGCCCUGCUCCAUAGACGUGGAUCUCCUGCUGGCUGUUUCUGCUGAUUGCCAGCUCCCGAUUUCGUGAAUUUUGCCGGAUUCUCCUGUCUCGACGUGAUUCAGAAAAAAUAAAAUUAAAAAUCAAAAAUAAAAAUAAAAA